rnacentral:rRNA from 1 species
UACGUAGGGGGCUAGCGUUGUCCGGAAUCAUUGGGCGUAAAGCGCGUGUAGGCGGCUCGAUAAGUCUGCUGUGAAAGUCCAGGGCUCAACCCUGGGAUGCCGGUGGAUACUGUCGAGCUCGAGUCCGGAAGAGGCGAGUGGAAUUCCUGGUGUAGCGGUGAAAUGCGCAGAUAUCAGGAGGAACACCGAUGGCGAAGGCAGCUCGCUGGGACGUGACUGACGCUGAGACGCGAAAGCGUGGGGAGCAAACAGG